rnacentral:rRNA from 1 species
CGGGGUGAGUAAUGCUUGGGAAUCUAGCUUAUGGAGGGGGAUAACUACGGGAAACUGUGCUAAUACCGCGUAGAAUCGGGAGAUGAAAGUGUGGGACCUUCGGGCCACAUGCCAUAGGAUGAGCCCAAGUGGGAUUAGGUAGUUGGUGAGGUAAAGGCUCACCAAGCCGACGAUCUCUAGCUGGUCUGAGAGGAUGACCAGCCACACUGGGACUGAGACACGGCCCAG